AUAUUUGCACUUAAGAAGUUACAGAUUCUUCUUCUAUUUUAAACCACCAGCUUGUGUUAAGCACAAUUUCGUCAGCUACCGUCCAGUGGUUAUAUAUACAAGUGGCAAAAACAUACAAAGACGAUGUUCAAACCGUGACUCUGCGGUUCAUUACAAUUGGACUGUGUUGAGCGGUGUUGAGUCUCGGAAAGGAUGUCGGUGAGCUUGUAGAUAGAACCACAACCAUACAGACAGCGUAGUGAAUUCCAAAACGGCCAAAUACACUUCACGAUUCUCAGAUACCAUCAAAAGAGGGAUGGAGGUAGGCAAUGGGACACGCAAGCAUAUUCCGUGUAUGCGUCGAAUACCGAAACAUUAAUAUGUGACGAGUAUUUAAUGUCGAGUACCAAAGUUCUUCUUUAACUGGUUGUGGAUGCAUCACAGGAAAAUAAUCUGAUAUAAAUGUACCUUGUAUAUAUGUACCAUGGAUAAAGGUUAAGUUUAUUUUA